GGAUAGCUCAGUUGGUAGAGCAUGAGACUUUCAAUCUCAGGGUUGUGGGUUCCCGCCCCAUGUUGGGCA